rnacentral:rRNA from 1 species
CCUACGGGAGACAGCAGUGAGGAAUAUUGGUCAAUGGGCGGAAGCCUGAACCAGCCAAGUCGCGUGAGGGAUUAAGGCCCUGCGGGUCGUAAACCUCUUUUGCCGGGGAGCAGUGGUCCGGACGUGUCCGGGCCGGGAGAGUACCCGGAGAAAAAGCAUCGGCUAACUCCGUGCCAGCAGCCGCGGUAAUACGGAGGAUGCGAGCGUUAUCCGGAUUUAUUGGGGUUAAGGGGUGCGUAGGCGGGCAUUUAAGCCGGCGGUCAAAUGUCGGGGCUCAACCCCGGCCUGCCGUCGGAACUGGGUGCCUUGAGUGGGCGAGAAGUAGGCGGAAUGCGUGGUGUAGCGGUGAAAUGCAUAGAUAUCACGCAGAACCCCGAUUGCGAAGGCAGCAUACCGGAGCCCGACUGACGCUGAGGCACGAAAGUGCGGGUAUCGAACAGGAUUAGAUACCCCGGUAGUC